CCUCAUUUACUCGCACAUGUAAACAACGGACAGUUAAUAUGUUUUUACACUGAAAUUGAAUUAUUUUAUGUCAAUCAAAAGAGAAAAUAUUUUUCUUUUUUACUGUAAACACUUUAAUCCCAGAAUGCUGAACGUUUGUGCAAUGCGCUCGCUGCAUUGUUUCCAUACUGAUCCGCUAAGGGUAACAAGACUGUAUAUUGUGUCAUGGAAAUCGAAAGUUGAAUUUGAAUAACAAAACAUUUGAGAUAUCAUUGACUUUCAUUUUUCACAAAACGCUGCACUAUGCUUAUUAUAAUAAGGAAACAUAAUUAUGCUUACUCAGGUUCAUAAGUUAAGAGUGUAGAUUCCAAGUAGUGUUCGCCAAUUUAUUUACUAUCACUGGAUAUAUUAAUGAAAACGAAAGUAGAAUUUAGUUUUCAUUUACCAGUAUAAUCUGUCGCCUUUGAACAUCCACCUAUAGAUAUAAUAAUGUUAUUAAAUCUAACAAUGUAUUUCAUUACUUUGCUUUAGCUUAAUGCAAACUGUAGCUGAGAAGAAAACGAUUAAAUUACCAGGGCCCCGUUUUACUAACAGUUCGUAAGUUGUGCGUAAGUUUUUACGUACAUUUUCAACUUACGUAAAUAAUACGAAUUGCGUACGUGCGUUUUACUAAAAUUUCGUAAGUGUAAAUAUUUGCGUAGGAAUAAAUAAUGCGUAACUCUCCGAUUGGAGGUAGAAAUCUCUCUUGGCGCGCACCUGUCAAAAAGAUAAACAAUGGCGACGCCGCAAAAGUUUAAAAGGAAAGAGAAUUGGUCCAGAGCAGAGCAUGGCAUGUACAGAAGUUGUCAGUUCCUUGCAGAGGUGAAGGCACCUAGUACUGGUUCUGCCCAGGAUAGGUGUGCGGUGGUUGAACUGUCACUCUGAGACCCUUCAAUGUGCUCACGCCGGGACCCGGAGUAUAAACUACUAACACCACCACCACCAGAGCAGAGCAUGAAAUGCUGAGGUAUUCAUUCCUUGAUGAAAGCCAUGCCAUUGAAAGCAAGUCCAACCAUUACUCAUGUCUAUGAAGAAAAAUCGUGGAAGAGGAAUGAAAAGAGACUGAAUGCCCAGGGUGUCUGCAUUAGAACUCUUGAUGAUUUUAAUAAGAAAUUAACCAACAUCAAGAUGGACGUGAAGAGGAGGUGUCAGAUGGCAGCGCUGACAGGUGGUGUGACUCCGUAUCUGUUCUGAUACAUAGAAGGGCCACUUCUGGCCUAUAUAUCUACGGGGUGACUCCUCCAAAGUUCAAUGAGCAGGAGGAGAAGAAACAAGUCCAUCAUCUUUGGUGCUGCACCAUACUGCCAAAACAGCUACAUGUUCAUCGUUUGCAGUUAUGUCAAUUUACCUCCAACAUAGUGUUUCCUGCAAUGUCCCAGGGGGCUGCCAUGAUUCCAAAAAGUACAACACCAACUGCAGCAAAAGUGACAAGAGUUUCCAAGAUUCCAUCUACAAGCAACUUGAAAAGACUUCUUAAAUGCCAGAGUGAGCUCUAUGAGCAAAUAUUACAUCAACAAAAACUGACAAUUGACUGUCUCCUUUAUUACAAUUUAUUUCAUGAAUGAUAACUUAAAUAAAAUGUGACUCAGCAACUGUUUUAAAUCAACAAACAUUCUAACAUAAACCUUUGAAGUCUUAUAGUAGAAUCAUAUACCUGGAAGUCUUUGAUUAUUUUAUCUACUUAAAAAACUCACAAUCCACUUAAAUAUUGCUGACACUUGAAGCUUUGCAUAAUUUAUUCACUAUUGCAUUUAAUAAAUCUUUAUUUACCUGUCAACCUGUUCAUAUUCAAGUAAUCUAAUAUUAAAAUACAUAUGGAAAAGCACUUUCAUUUAAAGUGACAUCUAUCAAACAUUGUAAUCACGAAAAAGGGGCUCAUAAUCAUACAUUUUAUGAUAUGGUAUUUUUUUACCAAUAGCUGAAUGUGUAAAUUGGUUAUUGUUUAGAGAGAUAAUAUGUCAAUUUAUUUGUUUUGUAAAUGUGUUUUUAAAUUGUUAUUUAUACUGUCAACACUAUUUUAACAUAUUUAUGAUUGUCAGCCUUCAUGUACUGUUUUGUUCAUUGUUAUAAUCAUCUUCUCCAUAAGUACUGUCAGUGAUUAUCAAAAUGAUACAGCAUCAAAUUCAUGUAUAAUCAUUUUUAAAGGGACUCAUUCAUGUUUUAUAUGGUUAGACAUUGAUUUUUUUUUAUUUCCUAUGAAAUGUGAACAAAAUGCUUGUAGCAAUGAUAAAACACUACAAAAGUUUAAAUAAGCUCAGAAAAUAUGGCAUAAAAUGCUUUAUUUUGCCAAAGUCAGGCUAAGUCAUUUUAGGCUUAGAUUUACUAUUAAAAUGUUGUUCAUAUGAUUAUAGCAGUUGCUUUUUGGUCUUUCUUCAUAAAAGUUGGUAAAAUAAUUCAAUUUCAACAAUUUGAAAAUAAAUAAUCUAUUAACAGUCCCUUUCUGAUAAUGAUUGCUACUAUUGUGUUGUUGUUUUUCAAGUUAAACUUGAUGUAAAAUGUCAAUUUUAAAUUCACACAAAUAAAGUGUUCACUUAUUUCACAGAUAUAUAUGUUUUACCUUUGUCUUUUCACUUUGUUGAAAUAAUAAUAAUGAUACAUCUAUGGAAUUCAAAUAUUAGCACAAACACUUCAUGUUAUUGAGAUGCA